GACGAACGCUGGCGGCGUGCUUAACACAUGCAAGUCGAACGGAAAGGCCCCUUCGGGGGUACUCGAGUGGCGAACAGGUGAGUAACACGUGAGUAACCUGCCCUUGACUUCGGGAUAACUUCAGGAAACUGGGGCUAAUACCGGAUAGGAAUCCUUGCUGCAUGGUGGGGGUUGGAAAGCUUCGGCGGUUUUGGAUGGACUCGCGGCUAUCAGCUUGUUGGUGGGGUAGUGGCUUACCAAGGCUUUGACGGGUAGCCGGCCUGAGAGGGCGACCGGCCACAUUGGGACUGAGAUACGGCCCAGACUCCUACGGGAGGCAGCAGUGGGGAAUAUUGCACAAUGGGCGGAAGCCUGAUGCAGCAACGCCGCGUGCGGGAUGACGGCCUUCGGGUUGUAAACCGCUUUCAGCAGGGGCGAAGCUUGUGGUGACGGUACCUGCAGAAGAAGCACCGGCUAACUACGUG
rnacentral:rRNA from 1 species